UCUAUUUUGUUGACUAAUAAAGCCCAAGAGCCUUGGGAAUGGGUAUAGUUACUAGAUUCCCAUAAGUAGUAGGAGCUUAUACAGAUUUGCUGAAUGAAUGCAGAGGUCCUGGUCCAAUUCGAUGGAGCACUUCUGUGUCCUGCUCAAAGAUUAACUCUCCUUUCCUCCUGAGAGAGGGUGACCACUUCCUUGGUGAUCAAAGAUUGAACAGGAUCCAGGGGGAAGUACCAAGCCUGUCCCAUCGGCCAUCCUGUGUGUCAUGUCCUGUGACCCAGUGGAUGCUCAGCACCCUCCAGCUGAAGAAACAGAUUGCCUUAGGUACAUGAAAGGUGAGGACACCUACUAUCCCCAUGGAGCGCAGGUGGGGCUGGGAGUCUGCUGUUUGUA